GACGAACGCUGGCGGCGUGCUUAACACAUGCAAGUCGAACGGAGUGGCGAACGGGUGAGUAACACGUGGGUGAUCUGCCUUGCACUUCGGGAUAAGCUUGGGAAACUGGGUCUAAUACCGGAUAGUGCAAGAUGAGCUCGCGGCCUAUCAGAUUGUUGGUGGGGUAAUGGCCUACCAAGGCGUCGACGGGUAGCCGGCCUGGGAGGGUGUACGGCCCCAAUGGGCCUAAGGUACGGCGCAGACUCGUACGGGGGGCAGCAGUGGGGAGUCUUGCACAAUGGGCGGAAGCCUGAUACGGCGACUCCGCGUGGGUGAUGAAGGCCUUCGGGUUGUAAACUCCUUUCGACAGGGACGCGGUACCUGUAUAAGAAGCACCGGCUAACUACGUGCCAGCAGCCGCGGUAAUUC
rnacentral:rRNA from 1 species